rnacentral:rRNA from 1 species
AGAGUUUGAUCCUGGCUCAGGACGAACGCUGGCGGCGCGCCUAACACAUGCAAGUCGAACGAGCGAGAGAGAGCUUGCUUUCUCAAGCGAGUGGCGAACGGGUGAGUAACGCGUGAGGAACCUGCCUCAAAGAGGGGGACAACAGUUGGAAACGACUGCUAAUACCGCAUAAGCCCACGGCUCGGCAUCGAGCAGAGGGAAAAGGAGCAAUCCGCUUUGAGAUGGCCUCGCGUCCGAUUAGCUAGUUGGUGAGGUAACGGCCCACCAAGGCGACGAUCGGUAGCCGGACUGAGAGGUUGAACGGCCACAUUGGGACUGAGACACGGCCCAGACUCCUACGGGAGGCAGCAGUGGGGAAUAUUGCACAAUGGGGGAAACCCUGAUGCAGCGACGCCGCGUGGAGGAAGAAGGUCUUCGGAUUGUAAACUCCUGUUGUUGAGGAAGAUAAUGACGGUACUCAACAAGGAAGUGACGGCUAACUACGUGCCAGCAGCCGCGGUAAAACGUAGGUCACAAGCGUUGUCCGGAAUUACUGGGUGUAAAGGGAGCGCAGGCGGGAAGACAAGUUGGAAGUGAAAUCCAUGGGCUCAACCCAUGAACUGCUUUCAAAACUGUUUUUCUUGAGUAGUGCAGAGGUAGGCGGAAUUCCCGGUGUAGCGGUGGAAUGCGUAGAUAUCGGGAGGAACACCAGUGGCGAAGGCGGCCUACUGGGCACCAACUGACGCUGAGGCUCGAAAGUGUGGGUAGCAAACAGGAUUAGAUACCCUGGUAGUCCACACUGUAAACGAUGAUUACUAGGUGUUGGAGGAUUGACCCCUUCAGUGCCGCAGUUAACACAAUAAGUAAUCCACCUGGGGAGUACGACCGCAAGGUUGAAACUCAAAGGAAU